GAGAAAGAAAAAUCGAUUUCCUGAGUAGCGGCGAGCGAAACGGAAAGAGCCCAAACCAAGAAGCUUGCUUCUUGGGGUUGUAGGACACUCUAUACGGAGUUACAAAAGAAAGUUAUAAAUGAAGCGGUCUGGAAAGGCCCGCCAAAGACGGUAACAGCCCGGUAGUUGAAAUGGCUUUCCCUCCAGAGUGGAUCCUGAGUACGGCGGAACACGUGAAAUUCCGUCGGAAUCCGGGAGGACCAUCUCCCAAGGCUAAAUACUCCCUAGUGACCGAUAGUGAACCAGUACCGUGAGGGAAAGGUGAAAAGCACCCCGGAAGGGGAGUGAAACAGUUCCUGAAACCGUGUGCCUACAAGUAGUUAGAGCCCGUUAAUGGGUGAUAGCGUGCCUUUUGUAGAAUGAACCGGCGAGUUACGAUUUGUUGCAAGGUUAAGCGGAAAAAGCGGAGCCGUAGCGAAAGCGAGUCUGAAUAGGGCGCAUAAGUAACAGGUCGUAGACCCGAAACCAGGUGAUCUACCCAUGUCCAGGAUGAAGGUAAGGUAAUACUUACUGGAGGUCCGAACCCACGCACGUUGAAAAGUGCGGGGAUGAGGUGUGGGUAGCGGAGAAAUUCCAAUCGAACUUGGAGAUAGCUGGUUCUCUCCGAAAUAGCUUUAGGGCUAGCCUCGAGGUAAAGAGUCAUGGAGGUAGAGCACUGUUUGGACUAGGGGCCCUUCUCGGGUUACCGAAUUCAGAUAAACUCCGAAUGCCAUGUACUUAUACUCGGGAGUCAGACUGCGAGUGAUAAGAUCCGUAGUCGAAAGGGAAACAGCCCAGACCACCAGUUAAGGUCCCCAAAUAUAUGUUAAGUGGAAAAGGAUGUGGGGUUGCUUAGACAACCAGGAUGUUGGCUUAGAAGCAGCCACCAUUGAAAGAGUGCGUAAUAGCUCACUGGUCGAGUGACCCCGCGCCGAAAAUGUACCGGGGCUAAACAUAUUACCGAAACUGUGGAUGAACCUCUUUAGAGGUUCGUGGUAGGAGAGCGUUCUAAGGGCGGUGAAGUCAGACCGGA
rnacentral:rRNA from 1 species